rnacentral:rRNA from 1 species
UACGUAGGGUGCAAGCGUUGUCCGGAAUUAUUGGGCGUAAAGAGCUCGUAGGCGGUUUGUUGCGUCGGCUGUGAAAACCCGAGGCUCAACCUCGGGCCUGCAGUCGAUACGGGCAAACUAGAGUACUGCAGGGGAGACUGGAAUUCCUGGUGUAGCGGUGAAAUGCGCAGAUAUCAGGAGGAACACCGGUGGCGAAGGCGGGUCUCUGGGCAGUAACUGACGCUGAGGAGCGAAAGCGUGGGGAGCGAACAGG